rnacentral:rRNA from 1 species
CCUACGGGAGGCAGCAGUGGGGAAUAUUGGGCAAUGGGCGCAAGCCUGACCCAGCAACGCCGCGUGAAGGAAGAAGGCUCUCGGGUUGUAAACUUCUUUUAUCAGGGACGAAGGAAGGGAUGGUACCUGAUGAAUAAGCCACGGCUAACUACGUGCCAGACGCCGCGGUAAUACGUAGGGGGCAAGCGUUAUACGGAUUUUCUGGGGGUAAAGGGCGGGGCGGCGGGAAAGCAAGUCCGAUGGGAAAACGAUGGGCGCAACCUGUGGCCUGCAUUGGAAACUGUUUUUCUUGAGUGCUGGAGAGGCGGACGGAAUUCCUAGUGUAGCGGUGAAAUGCGUAGAUAUUAGGAGGAACACCAGUGGCGAAGGCGGUCUGCUGGAUAGCAACUGACGCUGAGGCGCGAAAGCGUGGGGAGCAAACAGGAUUAGAUACCCCUGUAGUC